AUGAGCAUUAAGCUAAAUAAUGAGGUGGGACCUUAUUUCCAAAGCCACAAAGGGGUCCGUCAAGGUGACCCCCACUCUCCUUUCCUGUUCAAUCUAGCUGUUGAGACCCUCUCAAAGAUGAUACGUAAUGCCCAAAAGGAAAAGCUCCUAACUGGGCUUGCCCCUGACUUGAUUGAAGGGGGAGUAGCUAUCCUGCAGUAUGCAGAUGACACUGUCAUUUGUUUUGAACAUGAUAAGAAUGCUGCUGUAAACCUGAAACUGCUUCUAUACAUGUUCGAACUUAUGUCUAGUUUAAAAAUCAACUUCCUUAAAAGUGAGGUCCUCUGUGUUGGGGGGGAUGAGGACACGCUGGCCUUUUAUGUGGAACUGUUCAAUUGUAAUAUUGGACACUUUCCUAUGAAAUACCUAUGA
rnacentral:rRNA from 1 species